rnacentral:rRNA from 1 species
CUGGGGUGAAGUCGUAACAAGGUAGCCGCAUCGGAAGGUGCGGCUGGAUCACCUCCUUUCUAAGGAGAAUU